UUUUUUUUUUUUUUUAAAUUCAAAUGUUUUUUGUUUUUCAUAAUAGACAAGUAUAAUGAACGAAACUUUAGCUGCAAAAGGAUAAGUAUGAGAAUCUGAAUUUAAAUGCAUGAAAUAUAAUUUGGACUAGUUACAGAUUACGUUGGUUUUAUUUGUUUACCCAUUGUUGGAAUUAAAGUAUGAAUUGUUAAAUUGAGAGGAAAUAAGUGCAAGGGAAAUGAAAAUAGGUUAGGAAUAUGUAGAUGAAAUGAUUGGCUGUUGGAUCAUCGCUGUUGGCUGUUGAAUGAAAGCUUUUUGCUGUAGGUUUCUAUUAAAGAUGACACUGAAUCAUUUCUUUGGGAUUUGGUUGUAGUUAUAGAAUAUAGUUUUUGAGGGGCUUUGUGACGAUAAUAUGAUAUGGAAAUUUGGUUUUUUGGAACAUAUAUUUAACUCAAAAUGAAGUAAUGUUUUUGAUAAAUGUUGGAAACAACACAUUCAGUCAGGGGCAGACCUAGAAAUUUUGUUCAUAAAAAGCAAUUUCUUAUAAAUGGGUACCUUUAGGAUUAUAUAUACCUAUAUUUCUUAUAAUCAUGCUCAACAAGUUUUGGUAUUUUAAGUAUUUUAUAUGAUUGUUGUAUUGUCAAUGAUAUAAGAACAUGUUAUAAAAAUAUAUAUAGCUUUAUUAACUUUUUCUAAAUGAAAUCUAUAUUUUUUUUAUUAAUAUUUAUUUUAAAUCUUAGACAUUAAUAAAAUAAUAAGCAUUAACCAAACAAUUCACAUAAUUGGCCUCUCUUAAAACAGAAUCUAGCCGACAUUCAGAUAUCAUUACCCUGUAGACCCAAAUAACAACCUUCUUUUCUCCCUCGAGGGGGAUAAACAGAUAUUUCGUUAUUUUGUUGCUAGCCCAAUGGCUUAUUGUGUUAAUUUAUGAUUUUAUAUUUUUUCAGUGUUUUAAAAGAAUUAGAUUGGAAAAAUUGUUACCGGUCAUUAUGAAUGCUAAGAUGGGAUCCUAAGUUAUGGUUAAACUAUAAAAGUUCUAAAAUUUUGGGCAACCUUGUUUGUUUUUGCUGUUUUUUCUUUUUCCUAAUUUUUUAUAUAAGACAUGCAAUGUAUCAUAUUGAUUUUUUGGCUUCAAAAAUAUCAUUCUAGACUUAUUUCCAAUUGCAAAAAUUGCAAAUAUACAAUUUAUUUUAUAUUAAAGAGUCAAAGGGGAGCAGGGGCAGAGGGAGGGGGGGACUUGGGGGAGCCUGGCCCCCCCAAACUCCAGAAUUUUUUUUUAAAUUUGCCUUAUAAAUUAGUAUUAAAAUUUUUUUUUCUUCAUUUUGGUCCCCCUAACUUUUGAAAAAUUUAUUUUGGCCUCCCGAAAUUCUAAAGUCUAGCUUUGCCCUUGAAGGGGAGUUCCUUUAGUGGUGCUGCCUUACUGUUUUGGUGCAACACUGGCAUUAGAGAGUUCAAGAUGGUGAGAUUUAGCUACCUUAAUAUUGCAACUCAUCUUCAUAAUAGAGAAAGUAAAAUUUCACUCCUAAUUAUUCUCAGUUUGUGCAUGAAAAUCUUGAUGUUGCUAGUGAUAUACUGAUAGAUAUGCUCUCCAGGUUUAUUUGCAAUUAGUCUUAUUGUAUUUUAUUGUGGAUAAAGUAUAUCAAGAGCCUCUUAUAGUUAUGUCUAGGCAAGAGUGUUGUUAAUUGUAAAAUUAGUUCUUAAUCAAUUUUCUCUCUUCAUUCUGCUUAUGAGCUAACAUCAUCCAACUCUUUAAAUUUUAAAAUAAUUAUAAUAGCCAAAAUUGUACAACUUCUAAAUUUUAAAGAUGAAACACGUGCCAUUCAUAAUUACACGAAUGCAAAAUCCCAUAGGUUUAGGACACCUUUAGAAAAUUGAAUAAUCAACACUUCUUCUUUUGAAAUAAAUUACUUAUUUUUUAAAAAAUAUAUAAGGUCUCACUGACCUACUUUGAAGUUUCCACAUAAUAUUAUCUCUUAAAGAUUUUUAAUAGUGAUCAUUAGUUGUGGAUGAAGUUUUGAGUUUUCAGUGUUAUUGACACCAAAUGAUCUCUUUUGGAUUUGCUUGCAAUCUUUCCCAGAUUUAUUUGUUUCUCUCCUUUCUUAUUGCCACUUAGAAACAAGAAAAAAAUUAGUCCUGCAUUUUCUCUUUUUUCAUGAAUUAUCUUUCACGAUUUUUUUUUAUAAUUUUUUAUGGUUAUUUCUGUCUUGUAUUGAUCCUUGUUUUCUUGUUAAGCAUUUAGACUAUUUGAUUCCUUUCACAGUGAUCCUUGAAUACGCAGCAUGCAAUUUCUUAAGAUCAUGCUAUGUGAAGGGAAAACUAUCAGUUCCUGAAUCUUUACUGUUCGGUUCAUGCAAUUCACUUUGUGUAAGGUUGUAAUGCAAAUUUCAUUAAUAUGUGUACCAACAUGGAGGGAAAUCCUAUAUAGGUCCAUAUAACACUUUACACAGGUUAUUACAAUUCCUGUUCAAAUUUUUUGGUUCGUUUUGUUUUUAAGGCACUAAACUAGUGUUUCUAUAUCUCUUAACCAUGGUUGUCAAAAACACAAGGUGAAUUAGGGCACACAAGCUGGAGCCUAGACGCAUGGUGUAGGCACGCACUUGAGGGAUUUGAGGCGAAUAUUUCUUAAGUGUACAUAAAAUACAUUUAUGAUGUUCUCAACUUGUCAACAGUAAUAAUUGAAUGUAAUGGCAUUCUAAAAUUCAUGAUAAGCUGAAAAUUGCAAAGAAAAAUAACUAUAGAAAAUAGUUGAUUACAAGUCAUCUGCCCACUAGAAUGCAAGGAAAUAGUGAAUGCACAAGUUAUGGUCAAAAGCAAAUUAUUUUCACUAAAGCCAUCUACAAGCAAGAUAUUGUUAAGGAUUAGUUGUAAAUAGAGUACUAUUAGGAGUUAGAUUCCUAAUUAGUUUAUGAUUUGUAUUCCUAAAUAGCUAGGUAACAUAGGAAUUCCUUAUAUAUAGACCUAUGUAAUCGAUUGAUGAGAUACAAGAAAUACAAUUACAAUAUAUUCUCUCAACAGAUAUAAAAGACAGCAACCAAUGUAAGUUUCCUUAAAAAUACACAUGAUAUUAAUUCAUCUAUAAUUUGAACAAAAAAGCCCUUCACCUAGAAGUGUUGGUGUUUGCUACUAAGGAGAGAAGAAAGUUCAAUUUGGAAUUAGAUUGCCAAUCACAUUGUGAUAUGUAAGAGUUAAUUUUGUACGCAAUUAUAACUUAUUUUAUCUGUACAGACAGUACCAUCUUGUGGUUGAAACCAAAUUAUUCACACAUAAAGUGAAAAGAUCCAAGCCCUACUGAUAGCUUUUACCCUGAAUUUUGCUACUUCUUGCAAUUUUAUCCCAUGCCUUUUCUUUUAACUAUUUAAUCCUAAUACGUAAACUUAGUUGUAGUUCUACUCUAUCAGUCAACGAUAGAAAAAUAAUAAUAUUUUAUUGACAAAACAAAUAAAAAUAUAUUUUUUUCAUUUCUUUUCUUUCGUUUUACCCUUUUCCUUCUUAGUGUUGUGGUGUGAACAUUAAGGUUUAAUGGUAAAUUUUGGUAUUUUUUGGUAUUUGGUCUUUUACUGUUGGUGUGCAGUGCUGGUGGUGGUGUGGUGUUUUCCAUUUGAAGAGGGAUAAAAAGUGAGAAGGAUGAUGGGAAAGGAGAAAGAGAAGGGAAAGAGUGGAAGCAAUACAAGGGGGGAGAAAGAAAUAUUUAAAAAUUUAAAAUUAAAUUUUUAUUCAGUUGAAUACUGAAUAUUAUUAUUUGUUUCAAAUUUGAUUGAUAGGAUAUAAUAGCACAAAAGUUUGCAGGAUUAAGUAACUUCAAAAAAAAAAAAA